AGCACUUCUUGCCUUUUUGGCUAAGAUCAAGUAUAGUAUCUGUUCUUAUCAGAUUACUGUCAAAUACACCCUCCGAGGACAAGGCAUUAAAUGGAUUUUUGGAGCAGGGAGAUGGAAUAGCAGCUUGAUCCAUCCAUUCCUUCCACUGAUCUGGUAUUGCAGUACCUCCAGAAAAAGGUGCAACUCCU
rnacentral:snRNA from 1 species